rnacentral:misc_RNA from 1 species
UUUCCGUAGGUGAACCUGCGGAAGGAUCAUUAUUGUAUAACCGAGGUGCGAGGGCUGUCGCUGACCCGAAAGGUCCUGCACGCCCGAGUGCCCUCACACACAUCCAUCUCACCCCUAUGUGCACCACCGCGUGGGUCCCCCUUUGGCUUGUUCGGAGGGGGGCUUACGUUUUCACACAAACUUUGUAUGCAGUGUAGAAUGUAUUUUUUGUUUUUGCGAUCACGCAAUCAAUACAACUUUCAACAACGGAUCUCUUGGCUCUC